UCAAUGUCUGAGGAUGGAAAGGAGCAAUUAAAGAAACUCACUGAGUUGAAACAGUCUCUGGCAACUAGUUUGGAUCAAGAAACGAAGAAAAAUGACAAAUUGUGAAAAGAGCUUACUGGAUUGAUGAUCUGGCAGCACAGCUGGAAUCUGCCUCUUCAGAGUGUCUAUAUCUGGAUUCCAAAACACAAGUUCUUCAACAGAAAUUACUGUCUAUGAAAGGAAUGCAAAGGGGAUGUGAAGAACUAGAGAUGCAUUAAGAGAAGUUGGAACAGGAAGUAGCAAACCUAAAACACCACAUAGAAAUGAAUAAGGCACAGGCAGCAUCUCAAGAAAAAAUGGUCCAGUUUUGGGAGAGUAAGUAUGUUUCAAUGAGAAGUCAGAUGGAACUCAAAAUGAGAGAUCUGGAAUCUGAACUCUCCAAAGCAAAAAGUUUUCACUAAUAUUCUAAUAAAUCAGGAUUGGAAACAUAUAAGUGACUCUACCUAGAAGAACAAAAUUUUAGAAAGUGAUUGGAAAAUAUAAUGAACAAAUUUUUUUCAGUUAUCAAAAACAUGCUGAUGUGGGCCUUUCACAAAAGCAAAGUAACAUCAAGUAGACUUUUGAAAAGUGGGGGAUACGUGUAGCCGCCUCUGCAGCUGUUUCCGUUCUUCUUGAUCACCAAGUGGACGCUCUCAUCCUUCCCUUGAGGCUGUUGAUCUGAAUUAUUCCUCAGGGCCACAUGCUUGACUUCUCCAAGUGGAAACGCUUAAAGCAAACUGCAGGUGUGUUCUCUUUAUUAACGUUGGACCUCAAACUACUUCCUUCAUCUGAAUGCCAUCCUCACCUAGACAUCAACAUAAAGGUCUCCAAAGUACAUAUUUAGGAAAAGAGCUUUGGGCAGAAAAGACAGUCAUCUUACACUGAUUCACCAGGAGUUGCAAGAAAAUAUAAGUAGAGAACUAGCAAGAGUCGAGAGUAUGCGAUUCUUCAGGGUGGCCUGUGUCACCUUCCACUUGUCAUUCCAGUGCUUGUCACAGCAGCUUAGCACCUGGAUGUGGAGUAAAUGAAUGGGGAAUGAGAAAACCAGAAGCUCCAGUACUCAGCCUCAAGAGCAGUUAGCUCAGCAUGUAACCACGGGGACAAAUGCUGCUGCUGAAUUUGAAUCUGGAUCCUACGGAGCUUCUCCUCCAAGGUCUACCGAUGAUCAGCUUGUGAAAGCAUCCCAAGAAUAUGCACAGAUUCUGAAGAAAAAUUAUAUGAUCUGAAAGAUAAACAGUUGUUUCCCAUUAAAACAAAAUGUGAAAAUUUUUAUGAAAGGAAAAUACGUUUGUAUCAUCUGUGUAUGAUGAGAAUGUAUGUAGUAUUUUAUACCAUGUUUCUCUGCAUCUAACUUACUUUUAAGCAGAUUUUGUGAAUAAAAACCAGCACAGUUGAGUUUGACAUA